UACGUAGGGUGCAAGCGUUGUCCGGAUUUAUUGGGCGUAAAGAGCGUGUAGGCGGCCAGACAGGUCCGUUGUGAAAACUCGAGGCUCAACCUCGAGACGCCGAUGGAAACCGUCUGGCUAGAGUCCGGAAGAGGAGAGUGGAAUUCCUGGUGUAGCGGUGAAAUGCGCAGAUAUCAGGAAGAACACCCGUGGCGAAGGCGGCUCUCUGGAACGGUACUGACGCUGAGACGCGAAAGCGUGGGGAGCGAACAGG
rnacentral:rRNA from 1 species